UCCAGGACUGGAGACUGUGCCACCUGGUGCCAUUGUCAUUACUGACCUCCCCGGGUUGCGGCGUUGGACGUGCCCUGAUCCUUGGUAUGGAGUUAGUGAUUCCUUCAUCUUUACCAGAAGGUGAUGUCUACUAACCUUGUCUUGUGUCCAUCAGGUGGCAGUGGAGAGUUGUGACACCCCCCCCCGCCCCCUUCCCCCGAGCGGUGCAAGGACUCUACUGAGGCUCUUGGUGGACACAGCAGGAACCCACAGCCAGAGAUGGAUGCCAAGAUCCACUCCUUCCUCUGUCUGGCAAGCUCUACUGACCCCGGAGGUCGUUCCCACGCUUGCAGGGGUCCUAUGGGCUUGGUGUCGGUUGUCCCUUGUGCUCACUUUGCUGUCACCGGGUGUUCUUCCUUUGCCCAUGUUUAGGGCUCCCCAGUUCUGGUGGGAUCUCAGUGCCUUCUGCUGAUCCCAGCAAACCUAGAUCUUUUUCUCUUUUUGAGUUCAAUAUUGUUUCUUUUACUUACAGUUUUUACUUUAAAAAGAUUAAUUUCUAGAGCCUUCUGUCAAUAGGACAACUGCAAUGUAAAGGUCUGAAGCAAUGAUUCACAACUUGGCACAGGAUUUAAACAACUGGUGUACAGGUGAUGCAAUUAACCUGGAGGUGGGACUGGGUGGAGCCAGUGUCCACCUGGGCUCAUUUAAAGGCUGGAAGCUGAAGGGGAAGGGUCUGUGCCUGGGGGUUGCCAUGGCUGUUUAGUUGGGUGAGUGCUGAGCCUUGGGAAGGGCUGUUGCUUUUGUUUCUUUGUUUGAUGCUCAUCUGUUUGUUUUUGGUUCAGUGCUGACCAUGAGGUUCUGGACAUCAGGACUUCUUCAAAGCGGUGAGAGAACUCUACUUGAGGACCUUAGUGGUUACAGCAGGAAGCCACAGCCAAGGCUGGACACCAACAUCCAUUCUUGAUCUUUUCUGGCAAGCUCUAUUGCUCUCAGAGAGUGUUGUUGCUCUUCUGGCCGUUCAAUGGGAUCGGUGUCCCAUAGAUUGGCUUAGGGCUCCCCAGCACUACUGGCUGUCAGUGCCUUCUGUCGCUCCCAGUCAACAUGGCUCUGUUCUUUGCUUUCUGGGUUCCAGAGUGUUUGCUACAGUUAUGGAGUGUUUUCCUUCUCUCUCUUCUUGUCUUCCAUGUUGCCCAUUGGCGCCUCAGUGGAGCUUCUGUGCCUCAAAUGCUGUCUGCUAUGCACUGACCAAGGCUGAUGCCAUAAGAAGAGGACUGGAGAGUCCACCACCCGGUGCCGUUGUCAUUCCUGACCUCUCUUGGUUGUGGCAUUGCACGUGCCCUGAUCCUUGGAAAGGGGUAAGAGAUUUGUAUUUCAUUAUCAGAAGGUGAUCUGUACUUACCUUGUCUUGUGUCCAUCAGGUGGCAGUGGAGAGUUGUGACCACCCCCCCAAGCGGUGCAAGGACUCUACUGAGGCUCUUGGUGGACACAGCAGGAACCCACAGCCAACUCCUUUUUUUUUGUCUGGCAAGCUCUACUGACCCUGGAGGUUGUUCCCACGCUUGCAGAGGUCCUAUGGGCUUGGUGUCGGUUGUCCCUUGCGCUCACCUUGCUGUCACCGGGUGUUCUUCCUUUGCCCAUCUCUAGGGCUCCCCUUUUCUGAUGGGAUCUCUGUGCGUUGUGUUAAUCCCGAAGUACUUCAGAUUCUUCUUUCAUUUUCAGGUUCAGUGCCAUUUCAUGCUUUUAUGCUGUGUUUUCCUGCCUUCCUUUUGUUUUAUGGGCUGGAAAUGUAUGCCUGAGUGGGUCUAGGAUGACCCAAAUGCAAUCUAAGAAGGCUUGACCGAGUGUGGUGGGAAAGGAAGAGGACCGGGGACAGCAGCACCAGAUGCCGUUGCAUUUUGUGACCACCCCACAUUGCAGCAUUGGAAGUGCCUGGACCCUUGGAAAGGGCUAAGUGAUUCCUUCAUCAUUGCUAGAAUGUAGUUUGUGCUCAUCAGGAGAUGGUGGAGAAGUGUGGCCUUCUCAUUGGUGCAAAGAGUCUGCUGAGGCUCGAUGUGGAUAGAAUAGGAAUGCAGAGCCAUAGGGUGCAUGCCAAGGUCCACUCCUUUGUCUGUCUCACCAGCUCUGUUGAUCCCUGAGGUCAUUUCCAUGCUUGCAGAGGUCCUAUGGGCUUGGUGUCGGUUGUUCCUUGCGCUCACUGGGCUUUCACUGGGUGUUGCUACCUUGUAACCACCUUUCCCAGCCUCUAUUUCCAAGCAGGAGCUUCCCUUGGCCUCCAUGUCUCGCUCUGGCCAGGCAGAUGUGGUGAGCCAAUGGUACACAGAGUCUGGACCCUGAGCAGAACAACAACUGAGGAGAGAGGCUGCCCUGGGUGAGACAGGAGAUGUGCCCCUUGAAGCGGGGGACGCCCCGCUGGCGCUGCCUCUCGCAUCCACCGGCGGCACGUUCCUUCUCUCUCCUUGCCGCCCGGCGCUUUGCCGUCUCCCAGGGCUCGCCAAGUCCAAAUGUCCCGUGAUCGAGUGCAACUCCAGCUUGACCAACACUCACCCCGUCUGUCCCCACACCAGCUGGCUUAGGGCUCCCAGUCAGCAAUUCUGGCUGUCGGUGCCUUCUGUUGCUCUCAUUCAGCAUGGCUCUGUUCUUUGCUUUUUGGGUUACAAAAGACUUGCUACAGUUAUGGAGUGUUUUCCUUCUCUCUUCUUGUCUUCCAUGUUGCCCAUUGGCGCCUCAGUGGAGCUUCUGUGACCCACAUGUAGACUGCUCUGCGUUGACCAAGGCUGAUGCCAAAAGAAGAGGUAGGCUCCAAAACAGGCUGCUGGUGAGUGCUGUGUAUUACUUGGGGUUCCUAGAAUGCCUGCUAUUCCUUCUUAUCCCACGUUGCUCAGCACCAAAUGUGAAGGUUUCUUCUUUCCUUCCAGGACUGGAGACUGUGCCACCCGGUGCCGUUGUCAUUCCUGACCUCUCUUGGUUGUGGCGUUGGACGUGCCCUGAUCCUUGGAAAGGGGUAAGAGAUUUGUAUUUCAUUAUCAGAAGGUGAUCUGUACUUAUCUUGUCUUGUGUCCAUCAGGUGGCAGUGGAGAGUUGUGACCACCCCCCCAAGCGGUGCAAGGACUCUACUGAGGCUCUUGGCGGACACAGCAGGAACCCACAGCCAGAGAUGGAUGCCAAGAUCCACUCCUUCCUCUGUCUGGCAAGCUCUACUGACCCCGGAGGUCGUUCCCAUGCUUGCAGGGGUCCUAUGGGCUUGGUGUCGGUUGUCCCUUGUGCUCACUUUGCUGUCACCGGGUGUUCUUCCUUUGCCCAUGUUUAGGGCUCCCCAGUUCUGGUGGGAUCUCAGUGCCUUCUGCUGAUCCCACAGAACUUGGGUUUGUUCUCUUAUAUCCAGGCUCAGUAUCUUUUCUUGCUUGUAUGCAAUAUUGACCCUUUUUUUUUUCUUUUAUGGGCUGCAGAUGGAUAUGUCAUAGAGGUAUGUUGACCCAAAUGGAGACUGCUUUGCUUUGGCAGAGGGAGAUGCAAAUAAAAGGGGCAGGUGCCAAAACACGCUUCCGGAUUGGUGACUUCUCCACCAGCUGGUAUUGGCCAUCCUGACCUCUUUGGGUUGCAGCGUUAGAUGUGCUCUGAUCCUUGGAAAGGGUAAGUGAUCCCUCUUUCAUGACCUGAAGGUGAUGUCUACUUAGCUUGUUUUGUGUUCAACAGGUGGCGGCUGGGAACUGUGACCCUUUGAGGCCACUGAGGAUGUUCAAGGACACAGGUGGAAACCACAGCCAAACAUGGAUGCCAAGAUCCACUCCUUAUUUCUUGUGGCAAGCUCUGCUGACCCUGGAGUUUGUUCCCACGCUUGCAGAGGUCCUAUGGGCUUGGUGUCGGUUGUCCCUUGUGCUCACCUUGCUGUCACCGGGUGUUCUUCCUUUGCCCAUCUCUAGGGCUCCCCAGUUUUCAUGGGAUCUCUGCCUUCUGUUGAUCCCAGAGUACUUCAAUUUGUUCUUUCAUUUUCAGGUUCAGUGCCAUUUCAUGCUUUUAUGCUGUGUUUUUCUGCCUUCCUUUUGUUUUAUGGGCUGGAAACGUAUGCCUGAUUGGAUCUAGGAUGACCCAAAUGCAAUCUAGGAAGGUUUCACCAAGCGUGGUGGGAAAGGAAGAGGUAGGCUCCUAAGCAGACUUCUGGUGAGGACUGUGUAUAAUUUGGGUUUUUCUGGGAUGCCCACUACUCCUCCCUACCCUAUUUUGUUCAUUACCAUGUGUGAGGGUUUCUUUUUUUCCUUUUGGGACUGGGGACAGCAGUGCCAGAUGCUGAUACACUUUGUGACCUCCCCAGGUUGCAGUGUUGGAUGUGCCCUGAUCCUUGGAAAGGGGUGGGAGAUCUGUAUUUCAUUAUCAGGUGAUCUCUAUUUACCUUGUCUUGUCCAUCAGGUGGCAGUGGAGAGUUGUGACCCCCCCCCCCGAGCAGUGCAAGGACUCUACUGAGGCUCUUGGUUGACACAGCAGGAACCCACAGCCAGAGAUGGACGCCAAGAUCCACUCCUUCCUUUGUCUGGCAAGCUCUGUUGUCACUGUAGGUUGUUCCCAUGCUUGCAAAGGUCCUAAGGUGUCUGCUGUCCCUUGCGCUCACCUUGCUGUCACUGGGUGUUCUCCCUUUGCCCAUUCCUAGGGCUCCCCAGUUCUGAUGGGAUCUCUGUGCCUUCUGCUGUUCUAACAGAACAUUGAUUUGUUCUCUUAAUUUUCAGGUUCACUAUCAUUUCUUCAUGUUAUGCUGUGUUUCUCUUUGUUCCCUUUGUUUUCCAGGCUGCCAAUUGAGGCCUCGUUGGAGCUACGGUGACCCAAAUACAGACUGCUAUGUGUUGAGCAAGGGUGAUGCCAAAAGAAUAGGACUGGGGACAGCAGCACCAGAUGCCGUUGCAUUUUGUGACCACCCCACAUUGCAGCAUUGGAAGUGCCUGGACCCUUGGAAAGGGCUAAGUGAUUCCUUCAUCAUUGCUAGAAUGUAGUUUGUGCUCAUCAGGAGAUGGUGGAGAAGUGUGGCCUUCUCAUUGGUGCAAAGAGUCUGCUGAGGCACAAUGUGGAUAGAAUAGGAAUGCAGAGCCAUAGGGUGCAUGCCAAGGUCCACUCCUUUGUCUGUCUCACCAGCUCUGUUGAUCCCUGAGGUCAUUUCCAUGCUUGCAGAGGUCCUAUGGGCUUGGUGUCGGUUGUUCCUUGCGCUCACUGGGCUUUCACUGGGUGUUGCUACCUUGUAACCACCUUUCCCAGCCUCUAUUUCCAAGCAGGAGCUUCCCUUGGCCUCCAUGUCUCGCUCUGGCCAGGCAGAUGUGGUGAGCCAACGGUACACAGAGUCUGGACCCUGAGCAGAACAACAACUGAGGAGAGAGGCUGCCCUGGGUGAGACAGGAGAUGUGCCCCUUGAAGCGGGGGACGCCCCGCUGGCGCUGCCUCUCGCAUCCACCGGCGGCACGUUCCUUCUCUCUCCUUGCCGCCCGGCGCUUUGCCGUCUCCCAGGGCUCGCCAAGUCCAAAUGUCCCGUGAUCGAGUGCAACUCCAGCUUGACCAACGCUCACCCCGUCUGUCCCCACACCAGCUGGCUUAGGGCUCCUCAGCAAUGCAGGCUUUUGCUCCCAGUCAGCGUGGCUCUGUUCUUUGUUUCCUGGGUUCCAGAGCGUUUGCUACAGUUAUGGAGUGUUUCCCUUCUCUCUCUUCUUGUCUUCCAUGUUGCCCGUUGGCGCCUCAGUGGAGCUUCUGUGACCCAAAUGCAGACUGCUAUGCACUGACCAAGGCUGACGCCAGAAGAAGAGGUAGGCUCCAAAACAGGCUGCUGGUGAGUGCUGUGCAUGACUUGGGGUUGUUAGAAUGACUCGUGUUCCUCCCUAACCCGUGUUGUUCAGUACAACUAUUGAGGGUUUUAACUUUGAUUCUAGGUUUGGAUACUCUGCCAUCAGAUGGCGUUGCCUGUUCUUCUCUUCCCAGGUUACAGAGUUGGAUGUGACCUCGGCAUUGGAUAAGGGGUAAAUGGUUCUUUCUUGCUUACCAGAAGGUAAUCUGUACUUGUGUUGUGUGGAACAGGUUGCAGUGGAAAACUGUAGUUGUCCUGAGUGCUGCAAGGACCCUAUCAAGGCAUUUGGUGGAUAAAGCAGGAACCCACAGCUGGAGAUGGACGCCACAAUCCGCUCCUUUCUCUGUCUGGCAAGCUCUGCUGACCCCUGAGGUCAUUUCCAGGCUUACUGAGGUCUUAUGGGCUUGGUGUCGGUUGUCGCUUGUGCUCACUUUGAUGUCACCGGGUGUUCAUCCUUUGCCCAUUCUUAGGGCUCCCCAGUUCUAAUGGGAUGUCAGUGCCUUCUGUUGAUCCCAGAGAACAUGGGCUGCCAAUUGAUCCCUCUUCGGUCUGCAAUAAACCAAAUGCUGUCUAGUAAGGUUUGACCAAGUGAGAUGGAAAAUGAAGUGGUAGGCUCCAAAACAGGCUUGCUUAUUGGAGACUUAUCCACCACAUGGUGAUGCCUUUCCUGACUUCCUUGAUUGCAGUGUCGGAUGUGUCCUGCUCCUUGGAAAGGGUUAAGUGAUUCCUUUGUCCUUAGUAGAAUGUGAUCUCUACUUACCGUGUCUUGUGUCCUUCAGGUGGCAGUGGAGAGCUGUGACCAUCCCGAGCAGUGCAAGGACUCUACUGAUGCUUUUGGUGGACAGAGCAGGAACCCACAUCCAUAGAUAGACACCAAGAUCCAUUCCUUUAUUAGUUUGGCAAACUCUGUUUUCCCCUGAGGUCAUCCCCACACUUGCAGAGGUCCUAUGGGCUUGGUGUUGGUUUUCCCUUGUGCUUACUGGGCUUUCCAAGCUUUUUUUCCCUUACUUGACACCACCUUUCCCAUCCUCUAUUUCCAAGCAGGAGUUCCCCUUGGCCUCCAUGUCUCGCUCUGGCCAGGCAGAUGUGGUGAGCCAACGGAUCAAAGCUUUCAGAAUUCAACCAAAAUAAACGGGGAGAGAGGCCGCCCUGGGUGAGACAGGAGACGUGCCCCUUGAGGCGGGGGACGCCCCGCUGGCACUGCCUCUCGCAUCCACCGGUGGCACAUUCCUUCUCUCUCCUUGCCGCCCGGCGCUUUGCCGUCUCCCAGGGCUCACCAAGUCCAAAUGUCCCGUGAUUGAGUGCAACUCCAACUUGACCAACACUCACCCCGUCUGUUCCCGCAUCAGCUGGCGUAGGGCUCCCCAGUACUGCUGGCUGUCAGUGUCUUCUGUUGCUCUCUGUCAACAUGGUGUUGUUCUUUCUUUUUUGGUUCAGUAGCGUGUCUUCUUGUAUUGCAGUGUUACCUUACUCUUUUUCAUCAUGUUUCAUGUUGCCAGUCAAUGUGUCUUUGGAGAUACACAGACUGAAAUGUAAACUGAUGUUCUUUGAUCAAGUGUGAUGGAAAGUGAGGAAGUAGGUUCCAAUACAGCUUUUGUGUGAGUGCUUUGUAUGACUUGGGGUUUCUGGAAUUACAUCUAAUUUGUCCUAAUCCACAUUGUUCAGUACCACAUGUCAAUGUUUCUUUUUUUCUUGUAGGGUUGGAGACUCCACUACUGGAUUCGAUUGGGCUUACAAGUCUUCCUGUGUUUGUGCAUUGGAUGUGCACUGAUGCUUGCAGAGGGAUAAGUGAUUACUCUGUGUGCCCUUUGGCCCAAAUUCCAAAUAUUACCCCAUGUAGUCUAAGUCCAGCUUUUCGCAUGCUCACCAUCUUUGUCCUUGCAAUAAAUUGGUUAGGGAUCUGAAAUAGUGAUGGGUUGUCGGUGCCUUGUGUUGCUGAUAUCACACUUUGGAAUGGUUUUUCCUUUAUGGUUGAACAGCAUUUCUUGCCAUCAUGCAGAGUUUGUCUUUUUUGUUUGCAUGAAGGAAGUGAAGUUGCCAUUGCGACACAAUGCAAGCCCGUCCUUCUGAAGCUGGAAGCUCUCAGCGAGAUAUGCUGAUCACCUUCAUCCAACGAUGACCAGGGAACUGUGCUGCUUUUUUAGGACCAUGACAAUAGGGUGGAGCAAUGCGUUAAUAAUGUCUUGGAAUUCUACCCAUCUUUCUUGUAAUGUAAUUAAUGUUUGUAUGUUAUGUUUUAAAAAAUGUAACGAUUGUUAUCCUGGCUGUGUCCGUUAGGAGGACGUUUCUUGUUGCGCCUUGUGUUGUAAUAAACAUGCCUGCUGAGUGUUGUGUGAGUCAA